rnacentral:miRNA from 14 species
GUUUCUCUGUGUAUAGCCCUGGCUGUCCUGGAACUCACUCUGUAGACCAGGCUGGCCUUGAACUCAGAGAUCCACCUGCCUCUGCCUCCUGAGUGCUGGGAUUAAAGGGAUGUGUUGCCACUGCUCG